CACAGGAUUAAGAUCACAGACAACCCCCUGUGAUUAUUACAAAUGACUAGUGGUCACUAGGUAAUACUUAUCCAGAGCGAAUAGGGCUUUAGUGCCAGCACAUUAUUCGAAAGGACACACACACAC